rnacentral:rRNA from 1 species
UACGGGAGGCAGCAGUGGGGAAUAUUGCACAAUGGGCGCAAGCCUGAUGCAGCCAUGCCGCGUGUAUGAAGAAGGCCUUCGGGUUGUAAAGUACUUUCAGUCGUGAGGAAGGUGUUAAGGUUAAUAACCUUAGCAAUUGACGUUAGCGACAGAAGAAGCACCGGCUAACUCCGUGCCAGCAGCCGCGGUAAUACGGAGGGUGCGAGCGUUAAUCGGAAUUACUGGGCGUAAAGGGCACGCAGGCGGUUAAUUAAGUUGGAUGUGAAAUCCCCGGGCUUAACCUGGGAAUGGCAUUCAAGACUGGUUAGCUAGAGUCUUGUAGAGGGGGUAGAAUUCCAUGUGUAGCGGUGAAAUGCGUAGAGAUGUGGAGGAAUGCCGGUGGCGAGGCGGGCCCCUGGGACAAAGACUGACGCUCGAUGUGCGAAAGCGUGGGGAGCGAAACAGGAUUAGGAUACC